rnacentral:rRNA from 1 species
ACUUAAAUUGAAGAGUUUGAUCAUGGCUCAGAUUGAACGCUGGCGGCAGGCCUAACACAUGCAAGUCGAGCGGUAGCACAGAGAGCUUGCUCUCGGGUGACGAGCGGCGGACGGGUGAGUAAUGUCUGGGAAACUGCCUGAUGGAGGGGGAUAACUACUGGAAACGGUAGCUAAUACCGCAUAAUGUCGCAAGACCAAAGUGGGGGACCUUCGGGCCUCAUGCCAUCAGAUGUGCCCAGAUGGGAUU